GUAUUGCUAGGUGUUUUUUAUUUUAUUUGCUAUAUUGAACUUUAGCAUGGCAUGAAAAAAUGAUAACAAAAAUAAAAAUGGGUUGAACUUUUUUAUUUGAAAUCAUUUACUAUUAUAAAAUUAUGUCUAAAGUCUCAUAUACUUAAUCUUAAGUGUGUCAUGGAAAAAAUAAUAAGUACAAUAAAAAUGAAGCAACUAUCAAGAUUUGAACUUGCAACCUCAACUCCCAAGGGGAAACCAACACCCUCAUGACCACUAAAGCAAUUGCUUGUUUAUGUAAUAUCUAGCUUUUUAUUUUAUUUGUUAUGUUAAACUUUGCCAUGACGUGAAAAAUCAAUAAGAAAAAUAAAAAUAGACCAAAAUAUGUUAUUUUAAAUUAUUUACUAUCGUCAGAAUAUGUUCAAAGUUCUCACACACUAAUCCUUAGCGUGCCUUGGAAAAAAUCUUACAUACCAAUCCUUAGUGUGCCGUGGAAAAAAUCUCAUGUACCAAUCCUUAGUGUGCCAUGGAAAAAAUGAUAAGAAAAAGAAAAAUAAGGCAACUACCAAGAUUUCAACUUGCUACCUCAACCACCAAGGGUAAAGCAACACCACAAUAACCGCUAGACCACUUGCUUUUUAUGUAAUAUCUAGUUUUUUAUUUUAUUUGUUAUGUCAAACUUUAGCAUGACCUAAAAAAAUGAUGAAAACUAAAAAUAGACCAAAUUUUUUAUUUUAAAUCAUUUACUAUUGUCAAAUUAUUAAGCAUGUGUUGGAAAAAUAAUAAGAAAAAAAUGAGGCAACCACCAAUAUUUCAACCCACAACCUCAUCACCAAGGUAACAACCACUACCACCAGACCACUUGCAUUUUUAUGUAAUAUCUAGUGUUUGGUUUUAUUGUUACAUUAACUUUAGCAUAAUGUGAAAAAAUGCAAAGAAAAAUAAAACUUGGACAAACGCCGAGAUUUAAACAUGCAUCUCACGCCCCAAGAGGUCAAUAAGACCCCCACUACCACUGGACCACUUGCAUGUUUACACACUAUCUUGUGUUUCAUUUUAUGAAAAAAAUACAUUCGAAGUUCUCAUAUUUAAAAUUCGGUAACCACUAAGAUUUGAACUUGCAUCUCACUCCCCAAGUGGAUGGCAAUAUACCUACAACCACUAAAGCACUUACAUGUUUAUGAAAGAUUUAGUGUUUUAUUUUAUUUGUUAUAGGAACCAUAGUUUGAGUUAUCACGACAUGAUUAAAUUGUAAACUGUUCAAACAA
rnacentral:lncRNA from 1 species